ACCAGACUCCUACGGGAGGCAGCAGUGGGGGAUAUUGCACAAUGGGGGGAACCCUGAUGCAGCGACGCCGCGUGGGUGAAGGAGUAUUUCGGUAUGUAAAGCCCUCUCGGCGGGGGAGAAGCAAGACGGGACCUGACUAAGAAACCCCCGCUAACUACGUGCCAGCAGCCGCGGGAAUACGUAGGGGGGGAGCGGUAUCCGGAUUCACUGGGUGUAAAGGGAGCGUAGACGGCCAAGCAAGCCAGGGGUGAAAGCCCGGGGCCCAACCCCGGGACUGCCCUUGGAACUGCUUGGCUGGAGUGCGGGAGGGACAGGCGGAAUUCCUGGUGUAGCGGUGAAAUGCGUAGAUAUCAGGAGGAACACCGGCGGCGAAGGCGGAUUACUGGACGAUAACUGACGGUGAGGCGCGAAAGCGUGGGGAGCAAACAGGAUUAGAUACCCGGGUAUU
rnacentral:rRNA from 1 species